UCACGAAUCAUUGGCAAUGCGCGCAAGCGUGACCAUGCAAUGCCGCGUGGGCGAUGAAGGCCUUCGGGUUGUAAAGCCCUGUCAGGGGUGAGGAAACGUACUUCGGUACUUGACGUUAACCCCAGAGGAAGUCACGGCUAACUCCGUGCCAGCAGCCGCGGUAAGACGGAGGUGGCAAACGUUGCUCGGAAUCACUGGGCUUAAAGGGCGUGUAGGCGGUCGUCUAAGUCGGGUGUGAAAUCCCUCGGCUCAACCGAGGAACUGCAUCCGAAACUGGACGACUAGAGUGCGGGAGGGGCAAGUGGAACUCCAGGUGUAGCGGUGAAAUGCGUAGAUAUCUGGAGGAACGCCGGUGGCGAAAGCGACUUGCUGGACCGCAACUGACGCUGAGGCGCGAAAGCUAGGGGAGCGAACGGGAUUAGAUACCCCCGUAGUCC
rnacentral:rRNA from 1 species